rnacentral:tRNA from 1 species
AGCAUCGGCCUGGAAUCGAACCCGGGCCGCCCGCUUGGCAGGCGAGCAUUCUACCACUGAACCACCGAUGG